rnacentral:rRNA from 1 species
ACKGCUCAGUAACACGUGGACAAUCUGACUUAGGGAGGGGGAUAACCUCGGGAAACUGAGGACAAAACCCCGUAGGCGGCAAGCACUGGAAUGUCUGCCGCCGAUAUGUGAAGGCCUGUAUUCGGCUCAACGCCCUAAGAGGAGUCUGCGGCGGAUUAGCCUGACGGUAGGGUAACGGCCUACCGUAGCUACGAUCUGUACCGGCAUUGGGAGAUGGAGCCGGGAGAUGGACACUGAGACAAAGGUCCAGGUUCUACGGAGCGCAGCAGUCGCGAAACCUUCGCAAUGUGCGCAAGCAUGACGAGGGAACCCCAAGUGAGCACGUACAACGUGUUCUUUUACGGAGUGUAAAAAGCUCCGGGAAUAAGGGCUGGGUAAGACUGGUGCCAGCCUCCGCGGUAACACCAGCAGCUCAAGUGGUGAUCGCGUUUACUGGGUUUAAAGGGUGCGUAGUCGGUUCGGCAAGUUUUCUGUGAAAUCCUGCGGCUUAACCGUGGGGAUUGCAGAAAAUACUACCGGGCUAGAGGCCGGGGUAGGUGUGGGGUAUUCUUGGGGUAGCGGUGAAAUGCUAUAAUCCUUGGAGGACCACCCGUAGCGAAGGCGCCACACUGGAACGGGCCUGACGAUGAGGCACGAGAGCUAGGGGAGCAAACAGGAUUAGAUACCCUGGUAGUCCUAGCCGUAAACGAUGUGGGUUUAGUGUCCCUUAAACCUCGUGUUUGGGGGGUGCUGAAGGGAAACCGUUAAACCCACCACCUGGGGAGUACGGUCGCAAGGCCGAAACUUAAAGGAAUUGGCGGGGGAGCAC